GCGGGCGAGCGAGUUUUCACUGAGCAGACUAGGCAGAGGGAGAGCGAGAAUACAAGGCUGUCAGAGUUUGAGAGAGAGGCGGAGAACGGGAGAAGCGAGCAGAGCAGAGAGAGAUAUGAGACACAGGUAUAAAAGGGCGACAGAACGUUCGUUUGGGAUCUAACUUUCUCUGCCGGCAGUGUUCAGAGCAGAGGGAGCGAACGUGAAGUCAGAGGCUGUCAGUGUCUUGUUUUUCCUCUCAGACUGAAGAUGAGUAUUUAUGAGGAGGAAGAGAAGGACGGAGCAGAGUCUCCAGUGUUCAGCUGUGUGUCUCUGAAGAGUUACCGGUCCAUGGAUAAUCUUCUAAACUUCAGUGAUGAACCUGGACCCUCACACACAAACUCUGGCGUUGUGUUCACAAUUCUCAAAGCAUCUACGGAGAUGGAAAUAAAGGGUUGUGAACCAUCAGUAAAAACAGUCAGACCAUCAUUCAGCCGGGGAGGCUAAAGUAAGAGCUUCACCUCAUCAGUCCCCCCCAAGCUCCUGAUCAACACCUGUGAUUACUGCAGAGGGACUUGAUGUGAUGGUCUAAGGUUGUGACACUCAUUCAAAAAAUUGAAGCAUCUUAGGAAUCACUUUUGGACAACAUAGACUCAGACCAGACAAUGGAUGUUUGUAAGUCUUGUGAAGAGGAGAAACUCGGCUGCUCUGGUCGAUUACGGAAUCCCAUGGAAAAGAUGCUUGCAUUUCUGAGAGAGGAGGCUCAUAGAAAGGAGAGAAAGCUUGUCCACCUUUACGAACAAUGGAAAGAUCAGGCACGCAAAGUAAGAGAAAAGCUAAAGUUGGACAUUCCUGAGAGCCAAAUCGCAACACCCUGAAGUGAGUCUCUGUGUGGAGGGAGUGUGUUUUUUCCAGAGGCUGAAGCAACAGCAGCUUGUAUGGAGAGCAGCUCUGACUGGGCCUUGUUGCUGGGAGGCAGAGAGGAGACAGGGCUCCAGAAGAAUCAGAGGAGGUGCACUGCUCUGAGAUCAGCUCCACUGUCACACAGUGUCCAGUCCACCAUCCUAUAACCACAUUCUGUGUAUCUGAUUUUUUAUGAGCUUAAAGUUCCUGGAUUCCCGUCACAAAUUGAUUUUAGUUUGAAACAAAGUUACACAUAUUUAAAUCACUUUGAGUGUAGGAGCCAUUAAUUAGUAACAUUAAUAAGUUAAAGAAAGAUAUUAUUAUUUUGUUUUUUAUGAUUUAAAAUGUAAUAGGUUUGUAUUUUGGGGUUAUGUUUAACUUGUUUAUUGUUUACUUCCUAUCCUAUUCAUUUGGAAAUUGGUCAUAAGGAUAAGGGCGGAGUCAUAGUUGAUUUAAGCACCAGUUCACCUGUUGAGGAAGUAAAGAGUGCGAGUGGGGACACUGUAUUAUAUGUUGAUCUGCUAUUUUCCAUUUGAUAGAUUUAAUCUAUGAGUUUGAAAAUGGCCAAUAAAGUGGAUCUUCUUUUUUCUUUAAUAAAAGUUUAAACACA